UUGGUAGCCCUUGUAUGGUAUAAUUAGUGGCAGACGGGUGAGUAAUGUAUAGGAAUCUACCUAGUAGUACGGAAUAAUUGUUGGAAACGACAACUAAUACCGUAUACGCCCUACGGGGGAAAAAUUUAUUGCUAUUAGAUGAGCCUAUAUUAGAUUAGCUAGUUGGUGGGGUAAUAGCCUACCAAGGUAAUGAUCUAUAGCUGAUCUGAGAGGAUGAUCAGCCACACUGGAACUGAGAUACGGUCCAGACUCCUACGGGAGGCAGCAGUGGGGAAUAUUGGACAAUGGGCGAAAGCCUGAUCCAGCCAUGCCGCAGAGUGAAGAAGGCCUUUGGGUUGUAAAGCUCUUUUAGUGAGGAAGAUAAUGACGGUACUCACAGAAGAAGUCCUGGCUAACUCCGUGCCAGCAGCCGCGGUAAUACGGAGAGGGCUAGCGUUAUUCGGAAUUAUUGGGCGUAAAGGGCGCGUAGGCUGGUUAAUAAGUUAAAAGUGAAAUCCCGAGGCUUAACCUUGGAAUUGCUUUUAAAACUAUUAAUCUAGAGAUUGAAAGAGGAUAGGGGAAUUCCUGAUGUAGAGGUAAAAUUCGUAAAUAUUAGGAGGAACACCAGUGGCGAAGGCGUCUAUCUGGUUCAAAUCUGACGCUGAAGCGCGAAGGCGUGGGGAGCAAACAGGAUUAGAUACCCUGGUAGUCCACGCUGUAAACGAUGAAUGUUAAAUAUGGGGAGUUUACUUUCUGUAUUACAGCUAACGCGUUAAACAUUCCGCCUGGGGACUACGGUCGCAAGAUUAAAACUCAAAGGAAUUGACGGGGACCCGCACAAGCGGUGGAGCAUGUGGUUAAUUCGAUGCAACGCGAAAACCUUACCACUUCUAGACAUGAAAAUCAAA
rnacentral:rRNA from 1 species